rnacentral:rRNA from 1 species
ACGGGAGGCAGCAGUGGGGAAUAUUGCACAAUGGGCGCAAGCCUGAUGCAGCGAUGCCGCGUGAGGGAAGAAGGUUUUCGGAUUGUAAACCUCUGUCAUCGGGGACGAUAAUGACUGUACCCGAGAAGGAAGCUCCGGCUAACUACGUGCCAGCAGCCGCGGUAAUACGUAGGGAGCGAGCGUUAUCCGGAAUUACUGGGUGUAAAGGGAGUGUAGGCGGGACUGUAAGUCAGAUGUGAAAUCCAUGGGCUUAACUCAUGAACUGCAUUUGAAACUGUAUCUCUUGAGUGCUGGAGAGGUAGAUGGAAUUCCUUGUGUAGCGGUGAAAUGCGUAGAUAUAAGGAAGAACACCAGUGGCGAAGGCGAUCUACUGGACAGUAACUGACGCUGAGGCGCGAAAGCGUGGGGAGCAAACAGGAUUAGAUACCCUGGUA